rnacentral:tRNA from 1 species
GGGCACGUCGCCUAGCCAGGAUUUCAGAAAGCCUGAAAGGGCGCCGGCCCUCUAAGCCGGUUUUAUCAGGGGUUCAAGUCCCCUCGUGCCCG